GUGCUCGCUUCGGCAGCACAUAUACUAAAGUUGGAACGAUACAGAGAAGAUUAGCAUGGCCCCUGCGCAAGAAAAAAAAAAAAAAGAAAAGACAGCCAAAGAGACCUC